rnacentral:lncRNA from 1 species
UCCACUAGGAGCAAUCCUUUUACGUCUUUCCAGACAAGAUAGGGAAGGGGAAAUAGAUACCCUGAAGGACAUGAGGAAUAAAUACCCCGAAGGGUAAAGGGAACACAUACCCAUGAGAGAUAAGAAGCUUAAUGAGACACUUGAUGCAAUAUGCAUAUCAAUACAGAUACACUUCGGACCUCCAGGCUUCAUUCCACUUUUCUCUUUUCUUUUUCUUUUUACUUUUAUUGUUACCGAUUACAUAUUACAUUCAUUACAUGCAAAAUCAUCAAGUGUUUGCAAUUCACAUAACAUCUUAAAAACCAGAACAGUUCGACUCAUUUGAACAUAGAGGCAAGCAAAACAGGCAAAAUAAUAAUCAUAUUAAAUUCGUUUAUCUAAAAAUACUUCUUAAAAUAUUAAAAGAAAUACUAGAUU